rnacentral:rRNA from 1 species
UACCAGCACCCCGAGCGGUCGGGACGUUUAUUGGGCCUAAAGCAUCCGUAGCCGGUUCUGCAAGUCUUCCGUUAAAUCCACCUGCUUAACAGAUGGGCCGCGGAAGAUACUAUAGAGCUAGGAGGCGGGAGAGGCAAGCGGUACUCGAUGGGUAGGGGUAGAAUCCGUUGAUCCAUUGAAGACCACCAGUGGCGAAGGCGGCUUGCCAGAACGCGCUCGACGGUGAGGGAUGAAAGCUGGGGGAGCAAACCGG